CGAUAGCGGAUAGUACCGUGAGGGAAUGGUGAAAAGUACCGCGGGAGCGGAGUGAAAUAGUACCUGAAACCGUGUGCCUACAAGCCGUGGGAGCGUCGCGCAUCGAGCUUGCUCGGUGCGUCGUGACUGCGUGCCUUUUGAAGAAUGAGCCUGCGAGUUAGCGGUGUGUAGCGAGGUUAACCCGUGUGGGGAAGCCGUAGCGAAAGCGAGUCCGAACA
rfam:Streptomyces sp. WM6378 P402contig331.1, whole genome shotgun sequence.